AGAUUGAACGCUGGCGGCAUGCCUUACACAUGCAAGUCGAACGGUAGAGUAGCAAUACUUGAGAGUGGCGAACGGGUGAGUAAUAUAUCGGAACGUGCCCAGUCGUGGGGGAUAACGUAGAGAAAUUUACGCUAAUACCGCAUACGAUCUAAGGAUGAAAGCGGGGGACCGUAAGGCCUCGCGCGAUUGGAGCGGCUGAUAUCAGAUUAGGUUGUUGGUGAGGUAAAAGCUCACCAAGCCGACGAUCUGUAGCUGGUUUGAGAGAACGACCAGCCACACUGGACUGAGACACGGCCCAGACGUCCUACGGGAGCG
rnacentral:rRNA from 1 species